UUCUAAAAAGGCUGUAUCCGCCCCUGUAUAUAUGCCUGGUAUACUGUUUUGAUCAGCAGAACGUUAACAUUAAAAACAACAGACAUUUUACCUACAUUAAGACCAUCGACACACACCACCCGCUCCGGAUACCCGUCACGGAAUAACUGCACCCUGGAAAAGCGUUGAAAGCGUCCGUAAAAUACCAUUCGGAUUUCUGCAUCGAAACAUCUCCACAAGCACUUCUUUGGGUGGCAUUUUCGAAGUUAGGACGUACAAUGUAGAACAAACUUUAUGGAUAAAAGCUUCUUUUAUUUCGCGAGUGCAACGUUUCGAUACAUAUUCUACAACGGUACAAAAACUUUCGACUAUGAUAUAAAAGAAGUUGUUAUCCAUAAAGUUGUGUGUUUUAUACUUAUCUACCCAUAUUUCGAAUGCAAAUCAAACAAUAAACAAUAAAAAUUA